CUCCUCUGAAACUCUGGCAUAUAUCACAGACAAAAUUGGGUCAGAAGAGAGCACAGAGGUACUGAACUGAAAAGAGAUAAAUUCAUCUUUAGAAGAAAAAAGGAAGUCUCGAACUGCAAACUUGGGUUUAAUUUGUCUCCUCCACGUAAGGCACUGAUACACAUCUCUGGAGAGUACUUUCAGGCAGCCUGAAUAGCUGUUUCAUGCAAAAUUUCCUCAUGUGCUGUCUCUAAGAAUCUUCUGACAAAUAGGUGAGACAUAAGAUUGGAGAGAUGGGUUUUUUCCUUCAGUCUCAGCACUUCCUGUUACUCAGCUACUUCGUCAACAACUUUGUAAAGUUUGAUGGCAAACAUAUCGAGUUUCUUCAAAAAAUGUGAUGAUUGGGAAUAAGGAAAAACAGUGGGAAGGGGUGAUGAGCCUGAAGAGCUAAUGCUGCUAUUGAGGUAAAUG